rnacentral:pre_miRNA from 1 species
GUUUUAAUUACCUAGGGAUUUUGUUAAAAUGCAGAUGCUGAUUUAGUAGAUCUGCAACUGAAGUCUGAGAUUCUGCAUUUCUAACUAGAUCCAAGGUAAUUCUGAU